AGCCCUGAACAAGAUGUUUGUAUACAACCACAAGCAGUCAGAGUGGAGGGAGCUGGCUGCCAUGAAGACAGCCAGAGCCAUGUUCGGCGCUGUCGUUUACAACGGAAAGAUUGUGGUGGCUGGUGGAGUCAACGAGGAAGGCCUCACUGCUGCAUCUGAAGUCUACAAAUUUGGAAAAAACAAAUGGGAGACGUUCACAGACUUUCCCCAGGAGAGGAGCUCAGUGAACCUGCUGAGCAGUGAGGGGCUUCACCAUCAUCCAGAAUGACAACAAGGAGGUGAUCCCCAAUGUUGGCAGUACGAGGAGGACAAGAAGGAAUGGAGCGGGAUGCUGAGGGAGAUGCGUUACGCCGCUGGCUCCUCCUGCGUAUCCAUGCGCCUCAAUGCUACCAAGAUGCCCAAACUCUAGACCCUUGCUGCCCCGUCAUAUUUCCCCAUGAUGCCCUCUGUCUGCCUGGAUUACCACCAUCUUCUCUGGGUUGUCGUUCCAUUUUAGUAAUAGAGGGGGUGUCACCGUCACAUGAUAACUCAAAUGUGGAUUCUAAUUGGUUGAAUGUGUCGAGAGUUUCUUUUUGUCUAUUUUUGACAACAUCUACUUUGCGUCAGUGAAGACCGCAUCAGUAUAUUAGUUUCCCUCACUAUAGAGUAACUCACAAUGUGUA